rnacentral:tRNA from 1 species
GCCCCGAUAUCCCAAUCGGCAGAGGAAAAUGACUCAAACUCAUUCAAGUGUGGGUUCGAAUCCCACUCGGGGCA